rnacentral:rRNA from 1 species
GAUGAACGCUGACAGAAUGCUUAACACAUGCAAGUCAACUUGAACUUCGGUUUGGGUGGCGGACGGGUGAGUAACGCGUAAAGAACUUGCCUCACAGAUAGGGACAACAUUUGGAAACGAAUGCUAAUACCUGAUAUUAUGAUUUUAGGGCAUCCUAGGAUUAUGAAAGCUAUAUGCGCUGUGAGAGAGCUUUGCGUCCCAUUAGCUAGUUGGAGAGGUAACGGCUCACAAAGGCGAUGAUGGGUAGCCGGCCUGAGAGGGUGAUCGGCCAAAAGGGGACUGAGACACGGCCCUUACUCCUACGGGAGGAAGAAGUGGGGAAAAUUGGAAAAGGGACUAAGAGUCUGAUAGAGCAAUUCUGUGUGCAAGAUGAAGUUUUUCGGAAUGUAAAGUGCUUUCAGUUGGGAAGAAAAAAAUGACGGUACCAACAGAAGAAGUGACGGCUAAAUACGUG